rnacentral:lncRNA from 9 species
AGGGGACGCCCUGGCAACUUCUGGACAGCCUGGAGCUUCAUCCGUGGGGAAGAAGCUUCCUGUUACGGCCGCAAGGACUAAGAAGCAGGCUCUGCCACGGUUUGUCCCCGACGUCUUUCUAAAUACAGCUGAGCCUGUUCUAGAGUGUUUCUGAGUGAGGUCCUAGAUGCAAAUGGCUGUGGAUAUAUAGCAGUGAAGGUUAAUGAAGUUGAAAAGAUGAAAGAACUUAGAGACUCAGUGGCUCCAUGUUCUCCCUAUUCCUGGCCAGUCAUGUCAGGAAGUCUGGACAUCCCAUUUGGCCAAAAUCUUUGCUGAAGAUAAAGAAAUAACCCUUAGCACCUGGGAUAAAUGGAGAAACAAAACUGAAGUCAUGAAAAGUUGCAACAUUAUUAAGAGAGACUUGGAUUCACUGGAAAUUUAUUAACCCAGUAUUGGCAAGAACUCAUUGAUUGAAGCUGGGAAUCUCCACAAGGCUAACAGCAGUCAUCUCAGCAGAUAUCUACAGGACAGGAGAAUGGGAUGAUAUGUCCAAAGUGCUAAAGGAAAAGCUGCUAACCAAGAAUAUCUUACCCAGCAAAAUUUUUCUUCAGAAAUGAAGGUAAGAUAAAGCCUUUCCCAGAUAAAAUGUAAGCUGAGGGAGUUUCUCACUUACCAGACUGCCUUACGAGAAAUAGUGAAAGAAGUUCUUGAAGCUGAAAUGAAAGAAUGCUA